rnacentral:rRNA from 1 species
UACGUAGGAGGCGAGCGUUGUCCGGAGUUACUGGGCGUAAAGGGUGCGCAGGCGGCGGUUCGCGUGGCGAGAUGAAAUCUCCUGGCUUACCUGGGAGGGUGGUCGCCAGACGGGAUCGCUUGAGGGUCGGAGAGGGGCGUGGAAUUCCGGGUGGAGCGGUGAAAUGCGUAGAGAUCCGGAGGAACACCGGUGGUGUAAACGGCUUUCUGGACCGUAACUGACGCUGAGGCACGAAAGCGUGGGUAGCAAACAGG